AAUCAAGCCAUCAAAGGUGGUGAGCAUUCUAGCAAAAGUAAAGAGAUAGUACCCGAGGAUCAAGAAUCGGAGUACUCGGAACUCGAUUUUCAUUACAAUGAGCUCAGGAUAGUCGAUAGAUAGCUCACUUUGUUGAGGGCUACAGUUGGACUUGCAUCCUCAAAAACUGUAGGUUUACCGCUUUUGAUACUUUUGAUCAUUCAUGGGCCCACGUGUAAUUGUAAAUUAAAUUUUGUACUUUGGUUAUCUGUAUUACAAUAUGUAUGAAUUUAUUUAGCUUUUACGCUACAAAAA